GCUCUGUGGCCUAGUGGUUAGAGCGUCAGGCUCGAAUGCGGGAGGCCUUGGGUUCGAUUCCCGGUCGAAUCA